rnacentral:rRNA from 1 species
CCUACGGGAGGCAGCAGUGAGGAAUAUUGGUCAAUGGACGAGAGUCUGAACCAGCCAAGUAGCGUGAAGGAAGAAGGCUUUCGGGUUGUAAACUUCUUUUCUCAGGGACGAAGAAAGUGACGGUACCUGUGGAAUAAGCCACGGCUAACUACGUGCCAGCAGCCGCGGUAAUUCGUAGGUGGCAAGCGUUAUCCGGAUUUAUUGGGUGUAAAGGGCGUGUAGGCGGGAGCGCAAGUCAGAUGUGAAAACUCAGGGCUCAACCCUGAGCCUGCAUUUGAAACUGUGUUUCUUGAGUGCUGGAGAGGCAAUCGGAAUUCCGGGUGUAGCGGUGAAAUGCGUAGAUAUACGGAGGAACACCAGUGGCGAAGGCGGAUUGCUGGACAGUAACUGACGCUGAGGCGCGAAAGCGUGGGGAGCAAACAGGAUUAGAUACCCCUGUAGUC